rnacentral:rRNA from 1 species
AGUGAACGCUGGCGGUAGGCCUAACACAUGCAAGUCGAACGGCAGCACAGUAAGAGCUUGCUCUUACGGGUGGCGAGUGGCGGACGGGUGAGGAAUACAUCGGAAUCUACUUUUUCGUGGGGGAUAACGUAGGGAAACUUACGCUAAUACCGCAUACGACCUACGGGUGAAAGCAGGGGAUCUUCGGACCUUGCGCGAUUGAAUGAGCCGAUGUCGGAUUAGCUAGUUGGCGGGGUAAAGGCCCACCAAGGCGACGAUCCGUAGCUGGUCUGAGAGGAUGAUCAGCCACACUGGAACUGAGACACGGUCAGACUCCUACGGGAGGCAGCAGUGGGGAAUAUUGGACAAUGGGCGCAAGCCUGAUCCAGCCAUACCGCGUGGGUGAAGAAGGCCUUCGGGUUGUAAAGCCCUUUUGUUGGGAAAGAAAAGCAGCAGGUUAAUACCCCGCUGUUCUGACGGUACCCAAAGAAUAAGCGCCGGCUAACUUCGUG